rnacentral:rRNA from 1 species
GACGAAGCUGGUGGUCCUGCUUAACACAUGCAAGUCGAGCGAGUAAGGCCUUUCGGGGUACACGAGCGGCGAACGGGUGAGUAAACACGUGGGUGAUCUGCCCUGCACUUCGGGAUAAGCCUGGGAAACUGGGUCUAAUACCGGGUAUGACCUCCCCNUUGCAUUGCGUGGGGUGGGAAAANUUAUCNGUGCAAGAUUGGGCCCCCGGNCUAUCAACNUGUUUGGNGGGGCAAUUGGCCAACAAAGGGGAACAACGGGUAACCCNCCUUAGAAGGGGGNCCGGCCCACCUNGGGGGGAGAAAGGCCCAGACUCCUACGGGAGGCAGCAGUGGGGAAUAUUGCACAAUGGGCGAAAGCCUGAUGCAGCGACGCCGCGUGAGGGAUGACGGCCUUCGGGUUGUAAACCUCUUUCAGCAGGGACGAAGCGCAAGUGACGGUACCUGCAGAAGAAGCACCGGCUAACUACGUGCCAGCAGCCGCGGUAAUACGUAGGGUCC